rnacentral:rRNA from 1 species
CCAGUCGUGGGGGAUAACGUAGCGAAAGCUACGCUAAUACCGCAUACGAUCUAUGGAUGAAAGCGGGGGAUCGCAAGACCUCACGCGAUUGGAGCGGCCGAUAUCAGAUUAGGUAGUUGGUGGGGUAAAAGCCUACCAAGCCUUCGAUCUGUAGCUGGUCUGAGAGGACGACCAGCCACACUGGAACUGAGACACGGUCCAGACUCCUACGGGAGGCAGCAGUGGGGAGUUUUGGACAAUGGGCGCAAGCCUGAUCCAGCAAUGCCGCGUGCAGGAUGAAGGCCUUCGGUUGUAAACUGUUUUGUUACGGAACGAAACGGCUCUUUCUAAUAAAGGAGCUAAUGACGGUACCGUAAGAAUAAGCACCGGCUAACUACGUG